rnacentral:rRNA from 1 species
CGCCCGCCGCGCGCGGCGGGCCUACGGGAGGCAGCAGUGGGGAAUAUUGCACAAUGGGCGCAAGCCUGAUGCAGCCAUGCCGCGUGUAUGAAGAAGGCCUUCGGGUUGCAAAGUACUUUCAGCGGGGAGGAAGGCGUUGUGGUUAAUAACCGCAGCGAUUGACGUUACCCGCAGAAGAAGCACCGGCUAACUCCGUGCCAGCAGCCGCGGUAAUA